UACGGGGGGAGCAAGCGUUGUUCGGAUUUACUGGGCGUAAAGGGCGCGUAGGCGGCCACCGCAAGUCGAUUGUGAAAUCUCCGGGCUUAACCCGGAAAGGUCAACCGAUACUGCGGGGCUAGAGUGCAGAAGGGGCAACUGGAAUUCUCGGUGUAGCGGUGAAAUGCGUAGAUAUUCGGAGGAACACCAGUGGCGAAGGCGGCUCACUGGUCCAUUACUGACGCUGAGGUGCGAAAGCGUGGGGAGCAAACAGG
rnacentral:rRNA from 1 species